ensembl:lncRNA
CCGGAAGUCAAUAGUUAAAUGCAGAGAGCAAUAACCACUCUGUGACUCCUCCAAAGGAAUACACUAGAGGAAAUAUGAAAUAUUCUGAGCUAAUAGAAAAACAUACAUAUAAUGCCAAGUGGGAUUACAGUUUCAAGGUUUAUAAAGUAUCAUUACUCAUUGGAGUAUUUGUCUAGUAUUCAUGUUUCACAGCAUGAAGUAGGCUAAAUAAAAUUUUUCAUAUUUGUAUGACUUCAGGUUUUAAAUCAAAGAUGUAUCCUGUUCAUAGUGGCAAGGUUGAAAACAACUUGAAUAUUCACUGACAACAAGACAAAAUGUAAAAAUGAGAUUAUGGUGUGAAGUGUGUUGAAUAGAAGACCCCACUGCAUGGAAUCCUGGAUUCUACUUUGAUGGCACCUGAAUAACCUUGACUCAAAUCUCUCAGCCUCUGAAGUGUUUCCCAUUCUCUCUGUCUCUGUCUCUGUUCUCUCCCUUCCCCUUAAUUGGAACCAUCUCUGGUUCGUUCAAAACUCUCCAAGUCUAAAAGGAAAAUACAAAUGAGGAUCCUACAGAAAAUACACUUAAACCAUAAUUAUGAUGAUUCAAUAAAUGUAAUAUUUUACAGCUGACUACUCAUGAAUUAACUCCAGUGAGAAAAAAAAAAUAUAUAUAUAUAGUGUAGUGGGUCUUUUACCUCUGAGAAUGUCUGUCACAACCAUAACCCCUGGUGACCAAAAGUACCAUAAAUGGUUCCACUGAAAUGGCCUGACACCAUUGCCCUAGUCACAAGUGGUGAGCCAGUGUUGGGAGCCCAAGAAAAAGGGCAGCUAGCAUGAAGAGUGAGUGAUAAAUGGUUUGAAGAAUGAGUGGUUUAAAGUAGUUUGGUAUGAAGGCUGUGCUCUGAGGGAAACAGCGAUUUGUCAGACCACUUAGAACCCUCCUGGGAUGUUGAACUUGAGACAUGUAGACAUAGACCAGUGAGCAUGGAGCAGACAUGUAGACACCCUCAGAUACAAAAGACAUUUGCAGUUCUUUGCUGAACAGG